rnacentral:rRNA from 1 species
AGUCGUAACAAGGUCUCCGUUGGUGAACCAGCGGAGGGAUCAUUACCGAGUUUACAACUCCCAAACCCCUGUGAACAUACCUAUACGUUGCCUCGGCGGAUCAGCCCGCGCCCCGUAAAACGGGACGGCCCGCCCGAGGACCCCUAAACUCUGUUUUUAGUGGAACUUCUGAGUAAAACAAACAAAUAAAUCAAAACUUUCAACAACGGAUCUCUUGGUUCUGGCAUCGAUGAAGAACGCAGCAAAAUGCGAUAAGUAAUGUGAAUUGCAGAAUUCAGUGAAUCAUCGAAUCUUUGAACGCACAUUGCGCCCGCCAGUAUUCUGGCGGGCAUGCCUGUUCGAGCGUCAUUUCAACCCUCAAGCUCAGCUUGGUGUUGGGACUCGCGGUAACCCGCGUUCCCCAAAUCGAUUGGCGGUCACGUCGAGCUUCCAUAGCGUAGUAAUCAUACACCUCGUUACUGGUAAUCGUCGCGGCCACGCCGUUAAACCCCAACUUCUGAAUGUUGACCUCGGAUCAGGUAGGAAUACCCGCUGAACUUAAGCAUAUCAAUAAGCGGAG